AGGAAGGGAUCGUGGUCUUUCCUUCUCCCGCCCUGUGUCUGGACCAAUCAGCCGCGGGCGCUCAGCCACGCCCCUUCCCUUUGGUUGCACGGGUCCAGAGCGCUGGCGGCCAGCAGAACGAUGGCGGCUGCGCGAGGUUUCCGUAGCUUGCAGGGCAUGGUUGGCGUGGUGACAGGCGGGGCGUCAGGGCUGGGCCAGGCCACGAUCAGAAGACUGGUUAAGCAAGGGGCCCAGGCUGUCAUCGUGGAUUUGCCGAAAUCAUCAGGCGAAGCGCUGGCCGCGGAGCUGGGGUCUUCCUGUGCCUUUGCCCCCACCGAUGUAACCUCAGAAGCAGAUAUACAGGGGGCCCUGACCUUGGCCAGGGAGAAGUUCGGCCGGGUGGACCUUGCCGUUAAUUGUGCUGGCAUAGCUCUGGCCUCUAAGACUUACAACUUCAAGCAGGAUCAGGUGCACUCCCUGGAGGCUUUCCAGAAGGUGAUCCAGGUAAACCUAAUUGGCACCUUCAACAUGAUCCGCCUUGCUGCUGUGGAGAUGGGGAAGAAUGAGCCAGAUGAGGACGGGCAACGGGGCGUUAUCAUCAACACAGCCAGUGUGGCUGCCUUUGAGGGCCAGGUUGGACAAAUUGCAUAUUCUGCAUCCAAGGGGGCCAUUGUAGCGAUGACCCUGCCUGCAGCCCGGGACCUGGCCCCCUUGGGGAUCCGGGUGGUCACCAUUGCUCCAGGUCUGUUUGAGACACCCCUCUUGUUGGGACUCCCCGAAAAGGUCCGCUCCUUCCUCGCCCGCCAAGUGCCCUUUCCUAGCCGUCUGGGUGAUCCAGCAGAAUAUGCCCACCUUGUGCAGGCUGUGGUGGAAAACCCCCUGCUCAAUGGUGAAGUGAUCCGUCUAGAUGGAGGUUUAGCAUCCUGUGAUCUGCUUGAAAAUGUCACCAUGACGAACGACCGUUCAUCUGCCCACCCCACCAACGCUCUCACCUCCUGGGCUCGCGCCGACGCCAAGAUGGGGCUUCUCCCACAGCUGGUGAACAGAGACAAAGCGUCUCUCCGCUGCCAUGGCAACGAGCUGGGGCAGACGGCGCGUGCGUGCGCUCCGGCUGGACCUCGGAAGGGAGUCCCUUCUCCGCCCCGCCCCUCCUGCCUGGCCCCGCCUCCACGAGGAAGAAGUUCUUUCGGGUCCGCUAAGGCCCCUCCCUCAACUCGGGCGAUCCAGAGGCCGCUUCUGAAGUUGGACCGCUGUGUCUACCUUCUGAUCCUCGGGAGGAGGGCAGCAGGACCAUCUCCGUCCCGCCCCUUCUGGCCCGCCAGUCUAGCGCAUGCGCGCCAAGAAGGCAAAGAGCGGGUUGAAUUGGUACAUAGAGAGGUCCCUGGCUUCGUCCUUUUAGGUUGCGCACGCGCAGGAGGAGAGCUAGUCCUGAAGUCUGGGUGUUCGGGAGGCUCGCCUGUGCCUUAACUUCCCUAGUGCGCACGCGCGCGGCUCCUCUCGCGCUGCUUCGUUCGCACUCGCGAUAUGGGGCCCGUUUUUGCGCGGGCUUUGCCGUCUCCGUCCCCCCCGCUGCCGUGGGCUCUCCGAAACUGCUCCAAGUCAAAAACUCCAAGGCCUGCGAGGGUCGGCAGAUCAUUGGGCCCUUCCAGGGGCUCGCCGUCAUGACCGGACCCAACGGCUCAGAAGUUCAGCAGGGACUUGCCUAAGGUCACAUGCUGAGUUGUUGGCCGUUUGGGUAGGGAUCCUCCUCUUCGUCCUCCUCCCCUCCCCAUUUAUUUCCUUCCUCCAUUUGGUUUACUCUUGGGCCAGCUCCCUGACUGAGUGGUUGGUCCCCAAUAAGGCCACCUUGGAAAGGGGGCGGGGCUGGGAAGGAGCUCAUCGGCUAGCUUGGUCACCCUCUACAACCUUCCCAACAAAUCAUUAGAUGGUUUCUCCUGCAAGACAGAUUCCAUCCCACCCACUCCCCCACCCCCCCUUGAAUUGUUUGGGACUUUGGCCUGACCGUAAUCCUCGGUGGGGAAGGCUGAGGAAGACACCCAGUGCAACUGUCAGCCAAAGAAUAGCGAGCACUACACAGCGGCCAGGCUGGAGUGUGACAACAGUGUGAGUCACUUGGGGCCAGUGACCUACACAAACUGUCCCCAGAGAUCGAAAGAGGAGGCGAUGUGGGCCUAUGUGACAGGCGUCUUCAGCUGAGGAAGGAAGGAUGACAACCAUGAUAAUUAGGACAACAGUGAGAUGGAGCACCUCCAAGACCCAGCAGAUGAAUGUGGACAAGGUGAAAGCUGAGCCAAAAGAGAAGAUGAUGAAGUCAGAGGAGAAGAGAGGAGAUCCAAGGCUGGCCUGCCCUGGCUGGAGAGAGAGCCCAGAGAGGGGAGAGGAACACCUUAGGCCUCAGAAUUGGAUGGUUCCAAGUCAGUUGCCCAUGUCUCUGAGCCUCUUUAUUUCUCUGUAAAAGCAGGUGAAUGAACUAAGUAAUGUCUAAAGGUCCCUUCUAUCUCGUGUUCUCUCUUUGUGUAUCUGUCUCUUUAGAACACGUGUGUGCACGUGCCCACACACACUCUCUCAUAUACACCCCAGCACUUGAGAAAUUAACCCUAAAUACGUGCCAUAUGGACAGUGUGCUGUGUGUAGGCUAGAUACUAAGAAUUUGGGGAACUUAGAGGAGGAAGAAGUAACUGUGGGUUGUAGGUUUUGGGUGGUAGGAUGGAGAAAUACCUUGAAGUUGGGGCUAGAGGGCUAUCGAGGAUUGGGCAAAGCAGAGAGGCUGGGUGCCUCCUCCCCCCAGAUGCCCUACUUGUACCUU